AGUGAACGCUGGCGAUAGGCCUAACACAUGCAAGUCGAACGGCAGCACAGUAAGAGCUUGCUCUUACGGGUGGCGAGUGGCGGGCGGGUGAGGAAUACAUCGGAAUCUACUUUUUCGUGGGGGAUAACGUAGGGAAACUUACGCUAAUACCGCAUACGACCUACGGGUGAAAGCAGGGGAUCCUCGGACCUUGCGCGAUUGAAUGAGCCGAUGUCGGAUUAGCUAGUUGGCGGGGUAAAGGCCCACCAAGGCGACGAUCCGUAGCUGGUCUGAGAGGAUGAUCAGCCACACUGGAACUGAGACACGGUCCAGACUCCUACGGGAGGCAGCAGUGGGGAAUAUUGGACAAUGGGCGCAAGCCUGAUCCAGCCAUACCGCGUGGGUGAAGAAGGCCUUCGGGUUGUAAAGCCCUUUUGUUGGGAAAGAAAAGCAGCAGGUUAAUACCCCGCUGUUCUGACGGUACCCAAAGAAUAAGCACCGGCUAACUUCGUG
rnacentral:rRNA from 1 species